CAUCGCCUUCUGACAAGCUAUAGAAGGUCCAGCCUGCCCAGUGAUAAAAUUCAACGGCCGCGGUACCCUAACCGUGCGAAGGUAGCAUAAUCACUUGUUCUUUAAAUGAGGACUAGUAUCAACGGCAUCACGAGGACUACACUGUCUCCUCUCUUCAAUCAGUGAAACUGAUCUCCCCGUGAAGAAGCGGGGAUUCACUUAUAAGACGAGAAGACCCCAUGGAGCUUUAAACCCAAUGUAUAACCCAACAUACAAAUCAGUAAAGCCCUGAGGAUCUAUACACUGGUUUUAGGUUGGGGAGACCACGGAGUAAAACUAAACCUCCACAACAAACUGGCUAACGCCCUGAUCUAUGAACUACAACUCUAAGAGCCAACAAAUUGUUGCCAACGACCCAAUCACUUGAUUAAUGAACCAAGUUACCCUGGGGAUAACAGCGCAAUCUACUUCAAGAGCCCCUAUCGACAAGUAGGUUUACGACCUCGAUGUUGGAUCAGGGUAUCCAAGU
rnacentral:rRNA from 1 species